rnacentral:rRNA from 1 species
UACGAAGGGUGCAAGCGUUAAUCGGAAUUACUGGGCGUAAAGCGUGCGUAGGCGGUUUGUUAAGUCUGUUGUGAAAGCCCUGGGCUCAACCUGGGAAUGGCAAUGGAUACUGGCAAGCUAGAGUCAGGUAGAGGGUGGUGGAAUUCCCGGUGUAGCGGUGAAAUGCGUAGAGAUCGGGAGGAACAUCUGUGGCGAAGGCGGCCACCUGGACCAUGACUGACGCUGAGGCACGAAAGCGUGGGGAGCAAACAGG